AGAACGAACGCUGGCGGCAUGCCUCAUACAUGCAAGUCGAACGAAGGCUUCGGCCUUAGUGGCGCACGGGUGAGUAGCGCGUGGGAACCUACCCUUCUGUGGGGGAUAACCGAGGGAAACUUCGGCUAAUACCGCAUACGCCGGGAAACCGGGAAAGAUUUAUCGCUGAAGGAUGGGCCCGCGUCGGAUUAGCUAGUUGGUGGGGUAACGGCCUACCAAGGCUAUGAUCCGUAGCUGGUCUGAGAGGAUGAUCAGCCACACUGGGACUGAGACACGGCCCAGACUCCUACGGGAGGCAGCAGUGGGGAAUAUUGGACAAUGGGCGCAAGCCUGAUCCAGCAAUGCCGCGUGAGUGAUGAAGGCCUUAGGGUUGUAAAGCUCUUUCGCCCGCGACGAUGAUGACGGUAGCGGGAGAAGAGCCCGGCUAACUUCGUGCCAGCAGCCGC
rnacentral:rRNA from 1 species